GAAGGUGUAGCUCAGUGGUAGAGCAUUUGCCAAGCAUAUGUGAGGCUCUGGCUUCGAUCCCCAGCACCACA
rnacentral:tRNA from 1 species